CCUACGGGUGGCAGCAGUGGGGGAUAUUGCACAAUGGGGGGAACCCUGAUGCAGCGACGCCGCGUGGGUGAAGAAGCGCCUCGGCGCGUAAAGCCCUGUCAGCAGGGAAGAAAAUGACGGUACCUGAAGAAGAAGCCCCGGCUAACUACGUGCCAGCAGCCGCGGUAAUACGUAGGGGGCAAGCGUUAUCCGGAUUUACUGGGUGUAAAGGGGGCGCAGGCGGUGAUGCAAGCCAGGAGUGAAAGCCCGGGGCCCAACCCCGGGACUGCUCUUGGAACUGCGUGGCUGGAGUGCAGGAGGGGAAAGCGGAAUGCCUGGUGUAGCGGUGGAAUGCGUAGAUAUCAGGAGGAACACCGGUGGCGAAGGCGGCCUGCUGGACUGCAACUGACGUUGAGGCCCGAAAGCGUGGGGAGCGAACAGGAUUAGAUACCCUAGUAGUC
rnacentral:rRNA from 1 species